rnacentral:rRNA from 1 species
CACUGCAUCUGAAACUAUGUAUCUUGAGUGCUGGAGAGGGAAGCGGAAUUCCCAGUGUAGCGGUGAAAUGCGUAGAUAUUGGGAGGAACACCAGUGGCGAAGGCGGCUUUCUGGACAGCAACUGACGCUGAGGCGCGAAAGCGUGGGGAGCAAACAGGAUUAGAUACCCUGGUAGUCCACGCUGUAAACGAUGGAUACUAGGUGUAGGAGGUAUCGACCCCUUCUGUGCCGCAGUUAACACAAUAAGUAUCCCACCUGGGGAGUACGGCCGCGAGGUUGAAACUCAAAAGAAUUGACGGGGGCCCGCACAAGCAGUGGAGUAUGUGUUUUAAUUCGAAGCAACGAGAACAAUCUUACGAUUGUAUGAGAUGAUAACGAAGGCGGAAAUGCUGCGGUCGUUCUUGACGAUAUCAUCGGUGGUGCUGCGUGGUUGUCAUCUCGUGUCGUGAGAUGAUGGGGUUAUGUCCUCGCAACAAGCGCACCACUGUUGCCAGUUGCUAGCAUGAGAGAUGGGCACUCUGUCGAGACUGUCGGGUGACAAAUCGGGAGGGAGGGGGGGACGACAUCAAUCAUCAUGCCCUGUAUGUCCCGGGGGUACACCCCCACUCACAAGGGUAUAUCACGCGGGGAGCCUGUGCCCAGGGGAGAGAAACUCCAAAGAUAUACCCCAAUUUCAUAUCGUGGGCAGAAACCCGC